rnacentral:rRNA from 1 species
GUAGGUGGCAAGCGUUGUCCGGAAUUAUUGGGCGUAAAGCGCGCGCAGGGCGGUCCUUUAAGUCUGAUGUGAAAGCCCACGGCUCAACCGCGGAGGGUCAUUGGAAACUGGGGGACUUGAGUACAGAAGAGGAAAGCGGAAUUCCAAGUGUAGCGGUGAAAUGCGUAGAGAUUUGGAGGAACACCAGUGGCGAAGGCGGCUUUCUGGUCUGUAACUGACGCUGAGGCGCGAAAGCGUGGGGGGCAAACAGGAUUAGAUACCCUGGUAGUCCACGCCGUAAACGAUGAGUGCUAAGUGUUAGGGGGUUUCCGCCCCUUAGUGCUGCAGCUAACGCAUUAAGCACUCCGCCUGGGGAGUACGGCCGCAAAGGCUG